rnacentral:rRNA from 1 species
GGAGGAAAGUAGGGGAUCGAAAGACCUUAUGCUUUUGGAGCGGCCGAUGUCUGAUUAGCUAGUUGGUAAGGUAAUGGCUUACCAAGGCAACGAUCAGUAGUUGGUCUGAGAGGACGACCAGCCACACUGGGACUGAGACACGGCCCAGACUCCUACGGGAGGCAGCAGUGGGGAAUUUUGGACAAUGGGCGCAAGCCUGAUCCAGCAAUGCCGCGUGAGUGAAGAAGGCCUUCGGGUUGUAAAGCUCUUUCAGUUGAGAAGAAAAGAUUGUAACUAAUAAUUGCAAUCCAUGACGGUAUCGACAGAAGAAGCACCGGCUAACUACGUGCCAGCAGCCGCGAUAAUACGUAGGGUGCGAGCGUUAAUCGGAAUUACUGGGCGUAAAGGGUGCGCAGGCGGUUUUGUAAGUCAGAUGUGAAAUCCCCAGGCUUAACCUGGGAACUGCGUUUGAAACUACAAAGCUAG